rnacentral:rRNA from 1 species
UACGUAGGGGGCAAGCGUUGUCCGGAAUCAUUGGGCGUAAAGCGUGCGCAGGCGGUUAUGUAAGACAGGUGUGAAAUCCCCGGGCUUAACCUGGGAACUGCAUUUGUGACUGCAUCGCUGGAGUGCGGCAGAGGGGGAUGGAAUUCCGCGUGUAGCAGUGAAAUGCGUAGAGAUCAUGAGGAAGACCAGUGGCGAAGGCGGGUCUCGUGGACAGUUCCUGACACUGAGACACGAAGGCCAGGGGAGCAAACGGG